rnacentral:rRNA from 2 species
GGCUAAUACAUGCGCAAAUACUGUAUAAUCAUAUUUAUUAUGAUUGUACAGUAGUGUUUAUUAGAUACAGAACCCAACAGUGCGCCAUCACUUUCUAGUGGUGGUGUCAAAAGAGAAGGUGAUUCAUAGUAACCGAACGGAUCGCAUCAUAUUAUAAUCAUUUCGGUGAUUGGCGAUAGAUCAUUCAAGUUUCUGACCUAUCAGCUUUCGACGGUAGUGUAUUGGACUACCGUGGCAGUGACGGGUAACGGGGAAUUAGGGUUCGAUUCCGGAGAGGGAGCCUGAGAAACGGCUACCACAUCUAAGGAAGGCAGCAGGCGCGCAAAUUACCCAAUCCUGACUCAGGGAGGUAGUGACAAGAAAUAACAACACUGGAAAUUGUAUUUCUAGUGAUUGGAAUGAUGGGAAUCCAAACCCCUUUCAGAGUAACAAUUGGAGGGCAAGUCUGGUGCCAGCAGCCGCGGUAAUUCCAGCUCCAAUAGCGUAUAUUAAAGUUGUUGCAGUUAAAAAGCUCGUAGUUGGAUAUCUGCUGGAAGCAAUCAGUCCGCCCUUUUCGUAAGGGUGUGCACUUGAUGAAUUCUGGCAUGAUUUCAUCCUAAUAAUAAUAUAUUAUUAUAUUAGGUUGAUUCCUAGUAUAAUAAUAUUUAUUAUUAUGGGGAUGACAGUUACUUU